rnacentral:tRNA from 1 species
CCUGUCUGCGAGGCUACAACUCGCCG